rnacentral:rRNA from 1 species
CGACGGGAGCUUGCUCCCGGGCGUCGAGCGGCGGACGGGUGAGUAACGCGUGGGAAUCUAUCCAGUAGCGGGGGAUAGCCCGGGGAAACUCGGAUUAAUACCGCAUACGCCCUUAGGGGGAAAGCAGGGGAUCUUUAGACCUUGCACUAUUGGAUGAGCCCGCGUCGGAUUAGCUAGUUGGUGGGGUAAAGGCCUACCAAGGCGACGAUCCGUAGCUGGUCUGAGAGGAUGAUCAGCCACAUCGGGACUGAGACACGGCCCGAACUCCUACGGGAGGCAGCAGUGGGGAAUAUUGCGCAAUGGGCGAAAGCCUGACGCAGCCAUGCCGCGUGUGUGAAGAAGGCCCUAGGGUUGUAAAGCACUUUCAGUGGGGAGGAAAGGUUGCUGGUUAAUACCCAGUAACUGUGACGUUACCCACAGAAGAAGCACCGGCUAACUCCGUGCCAGCAGCCGCGGUAAUACGGAGGGUGCGAGCGUUAAUCGGAAUGACUGGGCGUAAAGCGCGCGUAGGUGGUUUGUUAAGUUGAAUGUGAAAGCCCAGGGCUCAACCUUGGAAUUGCAUCCAAAACUGGCAGGCUAGAGUACAGUAGAGGGGGGUAGAAUUUCCGGUGUAGCGGUGAAAUGCGUAGAGAUCGGAAGGAAUACCAGUGGCGAAGGCGGCCCCCUGGACUGAUACUGACACUGAAGUGCGAAAGCGUGGGUAGCGAACAGGAUUAGAUACCCUGGUAGUCCACGCCGUAAACGAUGUCUAUUAGCCGUUGGGCAGCUUGACUGUUUAGUGGCGCAGCUAACGCGAUAAAUAGACCGCCUGGGGAGUGCGGCCGCAAGGUUAAAACUCAAAUGAAUUGACGGGGGCCCGCACAAGCGGUGGAGCAUGUGGUUUAAUUCGACGCAACGCGAAGAACCUUACCAGGUCUUGACAUCCUCGGAACUUUCUAGAGAUAGAUUGGUGCCUUCGGGAAUCGAGUGACAGGUGCUGCAUGGCUGUCGUCAGCUCGUGUCGUGAGAUGUUGGGUUAAGUCCCGUAACGAGCGCAACCCUUGUCCUUAGUUGCUAGCGGUUCGGCCGAGAACUCUAAGGAGACUGCCGGUGACAAACCGGAGGAAGGUGGGGACGACGUCAAGUCAUCAUGGCCCUUACGACCUGGGCUACACACGUGCUACAAUGGGCGGUACAGAGGGCUGCAAACCAGCGAUGGUAAGCCAAUCCCUUAAAACCGUUCGUA